GACGAACGCUGGCGGCGUGCUUAACACAUGCAAGUCGAACGGAAAGGCCCUGCUUUUGUGGGGUGCUCGAGUGGCGAACGGGUGAGUAACACGUGAGUAACCUGCCCUUGACUUUGGGAUAACUUCAGGAAACUGGGGCUAAUACCGGAUAGGAGCUCCUGCUGCAUGGUGGGGGUUGGAAAGUUUCGGCGGUUGGGGAUGGACUCGCGGCUUAUCAGCUUGUUGGUGGGGUAGCGGCUUACCAAGGCUUUGACGGGUAGCCGGCCUGGGAGGGUGACCGGGCACAUUGGGACUGAGAUACGGCCCAGACUCGUACGGGAGGCAGCAGUGGGGAAUAUUGCACAAUGGGCGGAAGCCUGAUGCAGCAACGCCGCGUGCGGGAUGACGGCCUUCGGGUUGUAAACCGCUUUCGCCUGUGACGAAGCGUGAGUGACGGUAAUGGGUAAAGAAGCACCGGCUAACUACGUG
rnacentral:rRNA from 1 species